CGGACGGGUGAGUAACACGUGGAUAACCUGCCUAUAAGACUGGGAUAACUUCGGGAAACCGGAGCUAAUACCGGAUAAUAUAUUGAACCGCAUGGUUCAAUAGUGAAAGACGGUUUUGCUGUCACUUAUAGAUGGAUCCGCGCCGCAUUAGCUAGUUGGUAAGGUAACGGCUUACCAAGGCAACGAUGCGUAGCCGACCUGANAGGGUGAUCGGCCACACUGGAACUGAGACACGGUCCAGACUCCUACGGGAGGCAGCAGCC
rnacentral:rRNA from 1 species